rnacentral:rRNA from 1 species
AGCAGUAGGGAAUCUUCCACAAUGGACGAAAGUCUGAUGGAGCAACGCCGCGUGAACGAUGAAGGCUUUCGGGUCGUAAAGUUCUGUUGUAAGGGAAGAACAAGUGCCGCAGGCAAUGGCGGCACCUUGACGGUACCUUGCGAGAAAGCCACGGCUAACUACGUGCCAGCAGCCGCGGUAAUACGUAGGUGGCAAGCGUUGUCCGGAAUUAUUGGGCGUAAAGCGCGCGCAGGCGGCCUCUUAAGUCUGAUGUGAAAGCCCCCGGCUCAACCGGGGAGGGCCAUUGGAAACUGGGAGGCUUGAGUAUAGGAGAGAAGAGUGGAAUUCCACGUGUAGCGGUGAAAUGCGUAGAGAUGUGGAGGAACACCAGUGGCGAAGGCGACUCUUUGGCCUAUAACUGACGCUGAGGCGCGAAAGCGUGGGGAGCAAACAGGAUUAGAUACCCUGGUAGUCCACGCCGUAAACGAUGAGUGCUAGGUGUUGGAGGGUUUCCGCCCUUCAGUGCUGAAGCUAACGCAUUAAGCA